rnacentral:misc_RNA from 1 species
CAGUCAAGCUGAUGAGUCCUGCAGCCCCACAACACAAGCUGAGAGAGGCCAUCGCUAUGGUAGACGAGGUCGGGCCGCCGGAGAAGCCUGCAAUGGAGCCAGCACCGGCCGCGAAGCAGAUCAUGGUGCCGGAGAAGCCAGAGGAGAUGCUGAGAGCUCAGCAUAUGUUGACCACUCUGGUGGACGAGGUCCGGCCACCGGAGAAGCCAGAGGAGACGCCGGAGAACACCUCCGCAGGAUGUCCAACUCCAUCCUACCCCCGCCCAAGAAUGUUGAUGUCGAGCGCUCCGCCUGUUCCGCUCCCGCGCCGCCAACGAGCACCGCCGAGCUCCUCCCUGGCGCCACGUCCCGACAGACGUCGGCGCCGAGCGGCUGGCUCCACCGUGCUGAGUGUUUGUCAUUUAUACCAGCCCGAGUAGAUGGAAGAAAGCCUUCUCUUGGAAUGUCCUUUGAUUCUAUAAAGGAUGUGGAAGAGUUCUAUAAGUCAUAUGCACAUGACGAAGGGUUUUCUAUUCGUAUUGGUCCUCAAAAUUUAGCUAUUGAUGAGGUUAUCAACAAGAGAUUUAUGUGUUCAAGGCCAGGUUUUAAGAAGAUGAAGGAGACAAAUGGUCCACCUAAAAAUUUAAAGAACCAUGCACUGACAAGAUGUGGCUAUGAUGCAAAUGUAUAUGUGAAGUUGGGUAUUGUGGGGGACAGAUAUCCCCCGGGUCCAUCAGAAGGAUAAAAGACCUCACGAAAGGCCCAAGGGCCCCAUAAUUCGUAAGGUCAUCCCCUUGUGGGCCUGGGAGAGACGACCAGUGAAGCGGAUCGACAUAAGGCUGGAUCGGUGCAAGCCCAGACGACCCAAUGACUUCGAGCAAGUAAUCACAACAGUGAUCCGACCUUCCCGCGCUGGAGCCCCGUACAACAGAACCGAGCGAGGAUGGGUCGGCGGAACUAUAGGAAGAUAGACUCAAUCGGUUCACUAUUUCUUAGGUGCACAUUGUUAUCAUACCUGCAUGUAUUGCCCCACGGUCGAAUAUAUAAGGCCUAGGGGGCACCCCUUCAGAACACAUGCUCAGUACUUAGCCAUCCACCCAAUUCUCUGUGCUCUCGGUGCUAGAGAACCCUCUUGUAACCCACCACAUAAAGCACUCUCGCCAGGAUGUAGGGUGUUACUCAUUUCAAAGCGG